CCUACGGGAGGCAGCAGUGAGGAAUAUUGGACAAUGGGCGCAAGCCUGAUCCAGCCAUGCCGCGUGCAGGAUGACGGUCCUAUGGAUUGUAAACUGCUUUUAUACGAGAAGAAACACCCCUACGUGUAGGGACUUGACGGUAUCGUAAGAAUAAGGAUCGACUAACUCCGUGCCAGCAGCCGCGGUAAUACGGAGGAUCCAAGCGUUAUCCGGAAUCAUUGGGUUUAAAGGGUCCGUAGGCGGUUUAGUAAGUCAGUGGUGAAAUCUCCCCGCUCAACGGGGAAACGGCCAUUGAUACUGCUAGACUUGAAUUAUUAGGAAGUAACUAGAAUAUGUAGUGUAGCGGUGAAAUGCUUAGAGAUUACAUGGAAUACCAAUUGCGAAGGCAGGUUACUACUAAUGGAUUGACGCUGAUGGACGAAAGCGUGGGUAGCGAACAGGAUUAGAUACCCUGGUAGUCCACGCCGUAAACGAUGGAUACUAGCUGUUGGAAGCAAUUUCAGUGGCUAAGCGAAAGUGAUAAGUAUCCACCUGGGGAGUACGUUCGCAAGAUGAAACUCAAAGGAUUGACGGCUGAGAGNGCGAGACGACGACGAGGGAGGAGG
rnacentral:rRNA from 1 species